rnacentral:sRNA from 1 species
UUUAAGCCAUUUUGGGAUUGUGUUCACAGAACAGCUGACCAGUUUCUGAAGCGUUCCUUAGAAAUGAGGGAGCGAGUUCUAGGACCAGAUCACCCUGACUGUGCUCAGUCUUUGAAUAAUCUGGCAGCUCUAUGCAAUGAAAAGAAACAGUAUGAUAAAGCAGAAGAACUUUAUGAAAGAGCUUUAGAUAUUCGGAGACGUGCAUUAGCUCCUGAUCACCCUUCUUUGGCAUAUACGGUGAAGCAUCUUGCCAUCUUGUAUAAGAAAAUGGGGAAACUUGACAAAGCUGUACCUUUGUAUGAAUUGGCUGUUGAAAUUCGACAGAAAUCUUUUGGCCCAAAGCACCCUAGUGUAGCUACUGCCUUGGUGAACUUAGCUGUUCUUUAUAGCCAAAUGAAAAAACACGUUGAAGCUUUGCCAUUGUAUGAAAGAGCAUUAAAGAUUUAUGAAGAUAGCCUGGGUCGGAUGCAUCCUCGAGUUGGAGAAACACUGAAAAAUUUAGCUGUGCUUAGGUAAGAAUUUUUUUCACUUUCCUUAUACAGCCUCUUUUAUUCGAAGUAGCUUUGUCUUAGAAUAGCACAAAAUAUGUAUUACUGAAUGUUUUUUUUUAGAGUGGGGAGGGGUUGUUUUUUGCUGAUUGACUUCAAGAAGUACUGAAGUAGUAUCCAGAAAUGAAAUGAAGCCUGCAUGAUCUAUUUUGCAGAGGAGCAUAUGUAUGCAUCAUGGCAAACAGUGAAGGAUGGUUUAUACUACAUCUGGCUCUGGGAGUAAUAUGGGUAAUUUGCUGUCCCCAGAGUGAAUUUGCCAUUAAGUAUAUGUUGACUUUUGUUUGCUCAUUUGUAUUUUUCUCAGGAUGCAGAGAAUACCUAACUUUGCUUAGCAAUUUCACUGCCUCUAUUACAACAUGGUUUUAAUGAUAUCCAUAUGAGACACAAAAAUACUGAUACUGGUAGAAAGGAGAAGAGUUUGGGUGUUGUUUUACUGGUCUGCUUGAGUGAAUACACUGGAAAAAGAGGGGAAAUGGGCAAAUAUUUACAGCUUCUUUUUCUGUGUCCCAUAAGGUCAUUUUGAAUUGGUAAGAGGUUAUAUUCUCAUUUUAAGAGUUUUUGUUUUCUCUCUCAAAGCUAUGAAGGAGGAGAUUUUGAAAAAGCUGCUGAAUUAUACAAAAGGGCAAUGGAAAUAAAAGAAGCAGAAACAUCACUCUUGGGUGGAAAAGCUCCUUCAAGCCAUUCAUCAAGUGGAGACACGUUUAGCUUAAAAACAGCUCAUUCUCCUAAUGUUUUCCUUCAGCAAGGACAAAGGUAAUAGCAGCAGUUAGAAUUCUUUGCAAAUGUACCUUAAGACAAAAUAAUUAAACAUUUGGAACAUUUAAAUUUGAAACUUUAAAAAAAAGUUGUACGAAAUUUUACUAUGUGUGAUUUAACUGCUAUUUGUAUGAAGUUGUAUUGGACUACAUUAAGUUGGAAUUGUGAUUAUGUCUGUUUUAGUUGUUUAAAAGAAUUUUCCUAUUAUAUGGUAUCCAAGGAUGUAGACACAUUAGAAUUAUAAGAUGACAUGAGGAGCAAAUCAUGAAGAGCGGAUUGGUCUUUGUUCAACAAGAGCUGGCAGAGUAGUCAAGACAAGGAGUUCAAAAAUUCCAUGAAUCUUGGCCAGGCAUGGUGGCUCAUGCCUGUAAUCCCACCACUUUGGGAGGGUGAUGCAGGAGGAUCACUUGAGGCCAGGAGUUCGAGACCAGCCUGGCCAACAUGGUGAAACCCUGUCUCUACUAAAAAUACAAAAAAAAAUUAGCUGGACCUGGUGGCGCAUGCCUGUAAUCCUAGCUACUCAGGAGGCUGAGGCAUGAGAAUCGCUUGAACUCAGCAAGUGGAGGUUGCUAUGAGCUGAGAUUGUGCCAGUUCAUUCCAUCCUGGGCAACAGGGUGAGACUCUGUCUC